rnacentral:rRNA from 1 species
UCCUGGUCGGACAUCAGGAGGUUAGUGCAAUGGCAUAAGCCAGCUUGACUGCGAGCGUGACGGCGCGAGCAGGUGCGAAAGCAGGUCAUAGUGAUCCGGUGGUUCUGAAUGGAAGGGCCAUCGCUCAACGGAUAAAAGGUACUCCGGGGAUAACAGGCUGAUACCGCCCAAGAGUUCAUAUCGACGGCGGUGUUUGGCACCUCGAUGUCGGCUCAUCACAUCCUGGGGCUGAAGUAGGUCCCAAGGGUAUGGCUGUUCGCCAUUUAAAGUGGUACGCGAGCUGGGUUUAGAACGUCGUGAGACAGUUCGGUCCCUAUCUGCCGUGGGCGCUGGAGAACUGAGGGGGGCUGCUCCUAGUACGAGAGGACCGGAGUGGACGCAUCACUGGUGUUCGGGUUGUCAUGCCAAUGGCACUGCCCGGUAGCUAAAUGCGGAAGAGAUAAGUGCUGAAAGCAUCUAAGCACGAAACUUGCCCCGAGAUGAGUUCUCCCUGACCCUUUAAGGGUCCUGAAGGAACGUUGAAGACGACGACGUUGAUAGGCCGGGUGUGUAAGCGCAGCGAUGCGUUGAGCUAACCGGUAC